CCUACGGGGGGCAGCAGUGGGGAAUCUUGGACAAUGGGGGAAACCCUGAUCCAGCCAUGCCGCGUGAGUGAUGAAGGCCCUAGGGUUGUAAAACUCUUUCGGCGGGGACGCGGUACCCGCAGAAGAAGCUCCGGCUAACUUCGUGCCAGCAGCCGCGGUAAUACGAAGGGGGCUAGCGUUGUUCGGAAUUACUGGGCGUAAAGCGCGCGCAGGCGGUCCUUCAAGUCAGGGGUGAAAGCCCAGGGCUCAACCCUGGAAUGGCCUUUGAGACUAGAGGACUUGGGUACGGGAGAGGUGAGUGGAAUUCCGAGUGUAGAGGUGAAAUUCGUAGAUAUUCGGAAGAACACCAGUGGCGAAGGCGGCUCACUGGCCGUACCGACGCUCAGGCGCGAUAGCGUGGGGAGCAAACAGGAUUAGAUACCCUUGUAGUC
rnacentral:rRNA from 1 species